rfam:Biomphalaria glabrata isolate BB02 linkage group LG7 unlocalized genomic scaffold LG7_random_Scaffold359, whole genome shotgun sequence.
AGAACAUUAUGAUGAAAUUAUUGACGGGCGGACUGAAACAUAUUGUUGACUUGUCAUUUUCUGAUUCA